rnacentral:rRNA from 1 species
GUCGUACGGGCCUAGCAAUAGGUCAGUGGCGAACGGGAGAGUAAUGAAUCGCUAAUGUGCCCCGGACUCUGGGAUAGCUUUCCGAAAGGAAAGGUAAUACCAGAUGAGACCACGAACAGGCAUCUGUUUGUGCUCAAAGGUCCGCCGGUCUGGGAGCAGGCGAUUUCGUAUCAGCUAGUUGGUGAGGUAACGGCUCACCAAGGCGACGACGCGUAGCCGGACUGAGAGGUUGGCCGGCCUCAUUGGGACUGAGACACUGCCCAGACUCCUACGGGGGGCUGCAGUAACGAAUCUUCCGCAAUGCACGAAAGUGUGACGGAGCGACGCCGCGUGUAGGACGAAGCCCUUCGGGGUGUAAACUACUGUCAGGGGUUAGAAAGUUCUGAUCAACCCCAGAGGAAGGGACGGCUAACUCUGUGCCAGCAGCCGCGGUAAGACAGAGGUCCCGAGCGUUAGGCGGAAUCACUGGGCUUAAAGCGUGUGUAGGCGGAUUCCUAAGUGCCUUGUGAAAUCCCACGGCUCAACCGUGGAACUGCUUGGCAUACUGGGUGUCUUGAGCCAACUAGGGGCGAGCGGAACAAAUGGUGGAGCGGUGAAAUGCGUAGAUAUCAUUUGGAACGUCAAUGGUGAAAACAGCUCGCUGGGGUUGUGCUGACGCUGAGACACGAAAGCCAGGGGAGCGAACGGGAUUAGAUACCCCGGUAGUCCUGGCCAUAAACGAUGUCCACUAGAUCGUAGGUUCUCUGACGUUCUUACGGUCGAAGCCAAAGUGCUAAGUGGACCGCCUGGGAAGUACGGUCGCAAGGCUAAAACUCAAGAAAUUGACGGGGGCUCACACAAGCGGUGGAGCAUGUGGUUCAAUUCGAAGCAACGCGCAGAACCUUACCUGGGUUUGACAUGCCUGGAUUAUUCCGUGAAAGCGGGAUAGCCCUUCGGGUACACUGGCACAGUGCUGCAUGCUGUCGUCAGCUCGGGUCG